rnacentral:lncRNA from 10 species
CUUUGAAAUGAGAGCCUGAAAGCUUGAGCUUGGCUGCCGGCUGCCGUGCGCCCUGGGGCGAGUCACCUCAGGACACGCAGUCGGGACAGUCUCCUAAAGGACCCGCCAGUUUCACGUCUGUCUGCAUCCUGAGCACCUGAAGCGGGCAAGAUAAUUCUCAUUCCACAAACACUUGUUUAAAUGGUGACUCAAGCGGAAGGUUCCGUUCUCGUGGCCCUCCUUCAUUUAUUAGAAUGUUUGAUCCUCCCCGCAAUCUUGUAAGGCCCACAAAGACAAUCCUUAAGACAGUUAAGACGCUGAGGAAACUAAGGCUCCUCGUCAGAGCCAGACCAGAAGAACUCUGUGUUUUGAUGCUGAGUCGGAGCUCUUUUACCUGCAUCACCCAUAAGGCAAAGAUUUAAUUCAUUUGAACGCAGCAGGGACAGCGCUUACGGACUGCCUGUCAGCUUACAAUCGCCCCCGACAGAAAGAUUUUCCUGACCUUCCUAUCUUAAUUAACACCUACCAACCUCACUUUCUAUCGCUUUAUCCGCAAUUUUUCUUAAUAGCACUCACCACUAA